AGGACAUACACGUGUAGCACAACUCAACUUCCCUGCCAUGAAGAGAACACACAGAAAUUGCCAGCACCACACAGAUUAGGCACAGUCACCUUCACCAGUGAGCAAAAAGAUGAGGCUUUACAUUCUUCCAUACCCUGGGCAUUCUAGAUAGAAUCAGCAGCACAAACAACCCAUCCCUUGGGAAGGAUGAGAGUGUCCCAGUGCAAUCUAGGGCAGCUACUCCUCAAAGCAGAUCCCAAAAAGGUCUCUGCAGGACAUGCUACAUCUCACCAGAGAGCACAGGAGCAGCUCUCAUGACACCCUUCUGUACCUGGCAAGGAGGAAAGGCUUCCUGAUGCUGACU